AAGAAAAUGAAUGCAUUGGUAUCCCUGCUGUCAUGGUUGAUUUUCUCUGCCAACUUGACUGGGUCGUGGGGUGCCCAGACAUUUGGGUGCCCAGAUAUUUGGUCAAGUGUUAUUCUGGAUAUGUCUGUGAGGUCGUUUCUGGGUGAGACUAACACUUGAAUCAGUAGAUUGAGUGAAGCAGAUGCCCUCCCUAAUGUGGAUGGGCCUCAUCCAAUCAACUGGAACAGAACACAAAGGGAGUAAGGGAGAAUUCACUCUCUCUGCUUGACUGCUUUCCAGCUGGGACAUCGGUCUUCCUCUACCUUUGGACUCAAAUGGAAACAUCGGCUUUUCCUGGGUCUUGAGUUUAUUGGCCUUUGGGCAUAAAUAUACCAGCAGCUCUGCUGACUCCCAGGCCUUCGGACUCAAACUGGAAAUACACCAUUGCUCUCCUGAUCUCCAGCCUGUUGAUGCAGAAAUUGGGACUUAUCAGCUUCGUGAGUGACAGUGCCUGGCUCUGAGGAACACAGUGACUAUUAGUGCAGUCUGAUGUUGCUGCAUGUGUGCCGACAUUACCAGUUUUACCCACCACGGCUUUACACCAACGUCAACACAGUGGAAAAGGCAAGUCACAAAGAGUUUUGACAUCCAGGAUCCCCUAGAAGGGUCUCAGGGAAACUCAGAAGUUUGAGGCCCACGCUUUGUGAGCCUCAAUUUCAAAGUGAAGGAGAAGUUCAGAACACGCUACCCCAAAAUAUGCCACUCUUCUAUUUCAUGGUUUUGCGUUAAAGACACUUUAAAAAACAACAGCAGCAGAUGCAGGAAGGGCCCUCUGACUUUCCUAAAAGCAGGAGUUAAAACUCCCAAGUGGAAGGUUUCCUCCCUGCACCUGGAAGAAGAAAGCUAUUCUGAUCACCAGAGAUGGGGAGCUGAAGCCCCUGACAGACAUCUACACAAACAAACCUUGUUAAACUCAUCCUCGUGUUCCUAGUCACUUCUCCACGAUGAACCCUCGUCCCAGCCCCCCACUGCCUUGCCCCCUUUCAUCAUUUAUUGCUUCAUCCAACUCAAUAUAUGUGCUAAAUUCUAACAGCUUCUUUGGGUCUUCAUUUCUUUAUGAGGCCUCUCAUGUCAUGUAAAACUUAGAUUAAAUAAA
rnacentral:lncRNA from 10 species